CACUCCUACGGGAGGCAGCAGUGGGGAAUUUUGGACAAUGGGCGAAAGCCUGAUCCAGCAAUGCCGCGUGAGUGAAGAAGGCCUUCGGGUUGUAAAGCUCUUUUGUCAGGGAAGAAACGGUGAAAGCUAAUAUCUUUUGCUAAUGACGGUACCUGAAGAAUAAGCACCGGCUAACUACGUGCCAGCAGCCGCGGUAAUACGUAGGGUGCAAGCGUUAAUCGGAAUUACUGGGCGUAAAGCGUGCGCAGGCGGUUUUGUAAGUCUGAUGUGAAAUCCCCGGGCUCAACCUGGGAAUUGCAUUGGAGACUGCAAGGCUAGAAUCUGGCAGAGGGGGGUAGAAUUCCACGUGUAGCAGUGAAAUGCGUAGAUAUGUGGAGGAACACCGAUGGCGAAGGCAGCCCCCUGGGUCAAGAUUGACGCUCAUGCACGAAAGCGUGGGGAGCAAACAGGAUUAGAUACCCCGGUAGUCCCA
rnacentral:rRNA from 1 species